GAUGAACGCUAGCGGCAGGCCUAAUACAUGCAAGUCGAACGGUGUCUUCGGACAUAGUGGCGCACGGGUGCGUAACACGUAUGCAACCUACCUUAUAUUGGGGGAUAGCCUUUCGAAAGGGAGAUUAAUACCGCAUAAGACAGUAGCUGGGCAUCCAGCAGCUGUUAAAGAUUUAUCGAUGUAAGCUGGGCAUGCGUCCAAUUAGCUAGUUGGUGAGGUAACGGCUCACCAAGGCAAUGAUUGGUAGGGGAACUGAGAGGUCAAUCCCCCACACUGGAACUGGGAUACGGGCCAGACUCCUACGGGAGGCAGCAGUAGGGAAGAUUGGGCAAUGGACGCAAGUCUGACCCAGCCAUGCCGCGUGCAGGAUGAAGGCGUUAUGCGUUGUAAACUGCUUUUAUACAGGAAGAAACGACUCUUGCGAGAGGCAUUGACGGUACUGUAUGAAUAAGCACCGGCUAACUCCGUGCCAGCAGCCGCAGUAAGAC
rnacentral:rRNA from 1 species